UUUAAAUUAUAUUAGUUCAAAACUAACAUAAAUUAUGAUAAACAUACAUACAUAUAUAUACAACCAGCUACCUAUUGUAAGAGUCAGGUGAAUUUUUAUAUUUUUGUUAUUACAAUAUUUUCCAUCUCAAACAAGAUGUUUAACAUUGAAUCUUUAAAUAAGAAACGAAAUUAAAAUAUGAGCAAAUGAAAUAAAAUAACUAAGGAUUAACACAGGGAUCAAUACAUGUAAUGUUAACCUGAGAAGUUGUAUCAUUCACUAAUGAGGGAAUGAGAUGAUACCAAGUUUAUGGUACAAUUCUAAAUAUUCAAGGAAUUUUAAAGGAGUAAACAAAAUCCAAUUUUUUUUAACAAUGUAAACGAAGUAUGAUUUUUUUAGUUUAGACAUUUUUUCAAACAUCUGGU
rnacentral:lncRNA from 1 species